ensembl:lncRNA
AGAUUCUCCAAAAUGGUGCUACAGUGAUUUGGGGAGAGACAGAGGAGAGGAAUUGUUGAAUAAAGUCAUUAUUUUUGUUUUCUUUGUGUACAAAAAGUAUUCUCGUCGCUUCACGCAGUUCAGGCAGUUCACUGAAUUCAGUGAUGUCAUCAUCCAGCUCAGUUCAGUUUAAAUAGUAUCUUUGCAAUCAUUUGCAAUCAAGUCAAUGAUAUCACUGUAAAUGAAGUGUCCCCAACUAAGCAAGCCAGAGGUGACAGCGGCAAGGAACCAAAACUCCAUCGGUGACAGAAUGGAGAAAAAACCUUGGGAGAAAUCAGGCUCAAUCGGGGGGCCAGUUCUCUUCUGGCCAGAUGAAACCAGCAGUUCAAUUUCAGGCUGCACCAAUGUCACAUUGUGCAGAGGACUCAACAGGUUCUUGUGGUCUUGCCCCGGUGGUCAUCUGAGACAAGGUCUUUACAGGGGAUCUGUCUCUGGGGCUCAUCUAGUUGUCCUGGUCUCUGCUGUCUUUCAGGGCUGUAGAGGUCCUUUCUAGAUGCUGAUCCACCAUCUGUCUGAAUACGUACUGGAUCCGGGUGACUGCAGUGACCAUCUGAUCUGGAUACAGACUGGAUCUGGUGGCUAUGGAACUACACAAGCUUCAGUCUGGAUCCAGCCCUUACAAAGACCUGAGAUGACCGAACACCCGAGAAGAGAUGAUGCCAACCCCUCAGAGGAUCUCAGAUGAUGCCAAGCCUAAAACAACAUAAAUUACCAAAUUUUGCUACAAGUUUGAUUGCACCAUAUAAUUAUUGCUGUUAAUAGUGUUCAUCGUCUGCUUGAUUACGUCAUUAACUGAAUUUUACCAUACAUUUCUGCCAUAUGUACAUCAAUUUGACAUGUCACCACUGAUAAGCUACUACUAAAUAUGACAAUAAUUUUAUAAUUUUAGAAACUUAAUUUUCUGUAAAGCUGCUUUGCAAUGAUUUGUAUAGUGAAAAGCACUAUACAAAUAAAUUUGAAUUGAAUUGUCUGUCAGCCUGAUUAUUUCCCUGCAUUUAUCACAAGGGAAUCCCUCAUUGCUGACAGAGAAGGCUACAAUAAACAUGUGCCAAACAGUGUGUUUAUGUGUUUUUUUAAUUCUCAAAAAUCGUGGUAGCCACAGCCAUGCUCUAAACCAGGGGUCGGCAACCUUUUCGGCAUGCAUCGUCUGUGCAGUCUGUGUUUGUCAGUUCUGAGCAUCGUUGUGCUAUGUUUCCUCCUGUGGAUUAUUAAAGUCAGUUCUGUGUGAAAUCCCUUGUUUCCUCGUUCCUCGCUCCUAACAGUAGGCACGUGUGACAGCUAUAGUCACACAGGUCUGUUUACACACUAAACAUGCUACAAUAGUGUUAUAGCGCCGGCCUUCUUG